rnacentral:rRNA from 1 species
GAUGAACGCUAGCGGGAGGCCUAACACAUGCAAGCCGAGCGGUAUUGUUUCUUCGGAAAUGAGAGAGCGGCGUACGGGUGCGUAACACGUGUGCAACCUGCCUUUAUCUGGGGGAUAGCCUUUCGGAAGGAAGAUUAAUACUCCAUAAUAUAUUGAACGGCAUCGUUUAAUAUUGAAAGCUCCGGCGGAUAGAGAUGGGCACGCGCAAGAUUAGCUAGUUGGUGAGGUAACGGCUCACCAAGGCGAUGAUCUUUAGGGGGCCUGAGAGGGUGAUCCCCCACACUGGUACUGAGACACGGACCAGACGCCUACGGGAGGCAGCAGUGAGGAAUAUUGGUCAAUGGGUGCAAGCCUGAACCAGCCAUCCCGCGUGAAGGACGACUGCCCUAUGGGUUGUAAACUUCUUUUGUAUAGGGAGAAACCUACCCUCGAGAGGGUAGCUGAAGGUACUAUACGAAUAAGCACCGGCUAACUCCGUG